rnacentral:rRNA from 1 species
UCCGGUGGUUAUACUGGAGGGGCCACACCCGUUCCCAUUUCGAACACGGAAGUUAAGCCCUCCAAGGCCGAUGAUACUUUGACCGAGAGGUCAUGGGAAAGUAGGACGCCGCCGGGU